GGACGGGUGAGUAAUGUCUGGGAAACUGCCUGAUGGAGGGGGAUAACUACUGGAAACGGUAGCUAAUACCGCAUAACGUCGCAAGACCAAAGAGGGGGACCUUCGGGCCUCUUGCCAUCGGAUGUGCCCAGAUGGGAUUAGCUUGUUGGUGGGGUAACGGCUCACCAAGGCGACGAUCCCUAGCUGGUCUGAGAGGAUGACCAGCCACACUGGAACUGAGACACGGUCCAGACUCCUACGGGAGGCAGCAGUGGGGAAUAUUGCACAAUGGGCGCAAGCCUGAUGCAGCCAUGCCGCGUGUAUGAAGAAGGCCUUCGGGUUGUAAAGUACUUUCAGCGGGGAGGAAGGGAGUAAAGUUAAUACCUUUGCUCAUUGACGUUACCCGCAGAAGAAGCACCGGCUAACUCCGUGCCAGCAGCCACGGUAAUACGGAGGGUGCAAGCGUUAAUCGGAAUUACUGGGCGUAAAGCGCACGCAGGCGGUUUGUUAAGUCAGAUGUGAAAUCCCCGGGCUCAACCUGGGAACUGCAUCUGAUACUGGCAAGCUUGAGUCUCGUAGAGGGGGGUAGAAUUCCAGGUGUAGCGGUGAAAUGCGUAGAGAUCUGGAGGAAUACCGGUGGCGAAGGCGGCCCCCUGGACGAAGACUGACGCUCAGGUGCGAAAGCGUGGGGAGCAAACAGGAUUAGAUACCCUGGUAGUCCACGCCGUAAACGAUGUCGACUUGGAGGUUGUGCCCUUGAGGCGUGGCU
rnacentral:rRNA from 1 species